rnacentral:rRNA from 1 species
GGAGUUAGCCGGUGCUUCUUCUGUGAGUGAUGUCCUUCCUGCCGGCUAUUAACCCGCAGGCCUUCUUCCUCACUGAAAGUGCUUUACAACCCGAAGGCCUUCUUCACACACGCGGCAUGGCUGGAUCAGGGUUGCCCCCAUUGUCCAAUAUUCCCCACUGCUGCCUCCCGUAGGAGUCUGGGCCGUGUCUCAGUCCCAGUGUGGCUGAUCAUCCUCUCAGACCAUCUACGGAUCGUCGCCUUGGUGAGCCGUUACCUCACCAACCAGCUAAUCCGACAUAGGCUCAUCCGAUAGCGCGAGGCCCGAAGGUCCCCCGCUUUCCCCCGUAGGGCGUAUGCGGUAUUAGCCUGGGUUUCCCCAGGUUAUCCCCCACUACCGGGCAGAUUCCUAUGCAUUACUCACCCGUCCGCCGCUCGCCACCAGGGAGCAAGCUCCCCGUGCUGCCGCUCGACUUGCAUGUGUUAGGCCUGCCGCCAGCGUUCAAUCUGAGCCAUGAUCAAACUCUGA